GCUUAACCGGAGAAGUGCAUCGGAAACUGGAUAACUUGAGUGCAGAAGAGGAGAGUGGAAUUCCACGUGUAGCGGUGAAAUGCGUAGAGAUGUGGAGGAACACCAGUGGCGAAGGCGACUCUCUGGUCUGUAACUGACGCUGAGGAGCGAAAGCGUGGGGAGCGAACAGGAUUAGAUACCCUGGUAGUCCACGCCGUAAACGAUGAGUGCUAAGUGUUAGGGGGUUUCCGCCCCUUAGUGCCGCAGCUAACGCAUCAAGCACUCCGCCUGGGGAGUACGGUCGCAAGACUGAAACUCAAAGGAAUUGACGGGGGCCCGCACAAGCGGUGGAGCAUGUGGUUUAAUUCGAAGCAACGCGAAGAACCUUACCAGGUCUUGACAUCCUCUGACAACCCUAGAGAUAGGGCUUUCCCUUCGGGGACAGAGUGACAGGUGGUGCAUGGUUGUCGUCAGCUCGUGUCGUGAGAUGUUGGGUUAAGUCCCGCAACGAGCGCAACCCUUAUUAUCAGUUGCCAGCAUUAAGUUGGGCACUCUGGUGAGACUGCCGGUGACAAACCGGAGGAAGGUGGGGAUGACGUCAAAUCAUCAUGCCCCUUAUGACCUGGGCUACACACGUGCUACAAUGGAUGGUACAACG
rnacentral:rRNA from 1 species